AUGACCACUUGCUCGUGUGACAAACCUCUUAAGGUGCCUCCCAUGCACCUGGGGCGGGGAGAGGCUCCGGGUGGGGGGACAGUGGGGGUGGGAGCAGCCACAGCCCUCUCCUCUUCAGGGAAAAAAUACCUGGCCGGGCAUUCUCCCACACCAGGUGCCUGGGCCCGCUGUGCUGCCUGUGUGUCCUGCUGCACCUGCUACGAGCAGCCCCCUCGGGUAGCACAGUCGUCACUUCUGGUUUACAGCUCAGAAAACCACGCGUUGGAACUGACCGGUCAUCCGUCCCCAAUCACCACUGCCCAAGUCCACGUUGCACCAUCACCUCCUUUGCCCAUGCUGUCCCCUCUCCUAGCCCUGACUCCGUCCCCCUGCAGCAUGGCCGCAGCCUCAGUGCACCACCCUCUGUACCCACACUGGCCCCCGCAUCAUCACGUCCUUGGGCGGACUGCGCGUCCAGGAGGAGGUAAGGGUACUUCAAAAAGGUCAUGGAGGUAGAAUUAAAUGAUAAGAUUAUUUUGGAGCAAAAAAAUUGAAAUCCGUGUGUAGUUUUUUUCUUUUUUUUUACAGGCAGAGUGAACAGUGAGACAGAGAGACAGAGAGAAAGGUCUUCCUUUGCCGUUGGUUCACCCCCCAAUGGCCGCUAUGGCCGGCACACCGCGCUGAUCCGAAGCCAGGAGCCAGGUGCUUCUCCUGGUCUCCCAUGGGGUGCAGGGCCCAAGUACUUGGGCCAUCCUCCACUGCACUCCCUGGCCACAGCAGAGAGCUGGCCUGGAAGAGGGGCAACCGGGACAGAAUCCGGCGCCCCGAGUGGGACUAGAACCCGGUGUGCCGGCGCCACUAGGUGGAGGAUUAGCCUAGUGAGCCGCGGCGCCGGCCAUCUGGUGUUUCAUAAUAUGCAUUUCCAUGAGCUUUUUGAAGACCCAUCAUAUGCACGGAUUUCCUUUUCUUAAGAUUUAUUUAUUUUAUUUGAAAGACAAAGUUAACAGGAAGAUCUUCCAUCCGCUGGUUUACUCCUCAAAUGGCCACAACAGCUGGGGCUGGGCCAGACCAGCCAGGAACCAGGAGCUUCUUCAGGGUCUCCCACAUGGGUGCAGGGGCCCGAGGGCUUGCAAUGUCCUCUGCCGUUUCUCCCAGC
rnacentral:lncRNA from 1 species